UAGUCCACGCCGUAAACGAUGUCAACUAGCCGUCGGGCUCAUUAUAAGGGUUUGGUGGCGCAGCUAACGCGAUAAGUUGACCGCCUGGGGAGUACGCCGGCAACGGUAAAACUCAAAGGAAUUGACGGGGCCCGCACAAGCGGUGGAGCAUGUGGUUUAAUUCGAUGCAACGCGAAGAACCUUACCUACCCUUGACAUCCUCAGAACUUGUUAGAGAUAACUUGGUGCCUUCGGGAAUUGAGUGACAGGUGCUGCAUGGCUGUCGUCAGCUCGUGUCGUGAGAUGUUCGGUUAAGUCCGGCAACGAGCGCAACCCACACCCCUAGUUGCCAAUGAUGGAACUCUAGGGGAACUGCCCGUGAUAAGCGGGAGGAAGGUGUGGGAUGACGUCAAGUCCUCAUGGCCCUUACGGGGUUGGGGCUACACACGUGCUACAAUGGGCAGUGACAAUGGGUUAAUCCCCAAAAGCU
rnacentral:rRNA from 1 species